AGAGUUUGAUUCUGGCUCAGGAUGAACGCUAGCUACAGGCUUAACACAUGCAAGUCGAGGGGCAGCAUGAAACUUAGCUUGCUAAGUUCGAUGGCGACCGGCGCACGGGUGAGUAACACGUAUCCAACCUACCGUUUACUAUGGGAUAGCCUUCUGAAAAAGGAGAUUAAUACCGUAUGGCAUUCUAAAGUUUCAUGACAUUAGAAUUAAAGGUUUACCGGUAAUCGAUGGGGAUGCGUUCCAUUAGAUAGUAGGCGGGGUAACGGCCCACCUAGUCAGCGAUGGAUAGGGGUUCUGAGAGGAAGGUCCCCCACAUUGGAACUGAGACACGGUCCAAACUCUUACGGGAGGCAGCAGUGAGGAAUAUUGGUCAAUGGGCGAGAGCCUGAACCAGCCAAGUAAGCGUGAAGGAUGACUGCCCUAUGGGUUGUAAACUUCUUUUAUAAAGGAAUAAAGUGGUCCACGUGUGGAUUUUUGUAUGUACUUUAUGAAUAAGGAUCGGCUAACUCCGUGCCAGCCGCAGC
rnacentral:rRNA from 1 species